rnacentral:lncRNA from 1 species
UGGUCUUUCGUGGAUCUGUCUGUCGUCAACAGUGAGUAUCUAUCAGCUGGUUGAACCUUCACAACAGUCGUGACCACAGAAAAAAUUCUAAUUUGUCCCAUUGUGUUGUUUUUUCUUUCAGUCGUGACUGAACAUGAAUCCGAUGACGAGGAGACACUGAAAUGCUUCGUGAAGUCUAUACAGGAAAACUGUGAACUGGAAGUGAAGUGGACGAUCAAAGAUCAAGAUAUUGAUGAAGUCAACAGUCAGAUAAAGACAGAAAAUAAUGGAUGUUCUGCCACUGUGACUCUUAAAAAGUCACAUUAUCUUCACCCACAAACACACUUCCUGAGCUGUGAAGUGACUGACAACAGAACAGGAGAAACGUUUCGUUUCAGUCCUCGACCCUCAGGUGACACGAAAUCAACAAUGAAACCAGAAAGCUUCACAAAAUCAGCUGGAACUGAAACCAGUGGAGCUUCAGCAGGUCCACAAGGCUCGUGGUGGAUGCACUCGAUUGUCGCUGUGGGUCUGAUUGUACUCCUGAUCACAGCUGUGGUGAUCAUCAUCAGAUGGAAAAGGACCAAAGGUUCCUGGUGGAGAUUAAGGAGAGACGGUGAUAUAUGCUGAUGAAGAAAGCUCUGUGAAUCUACGUCCCUUUCCCUUUAUCCUAGCAUUUUGUCAAACCAUACUUUUUUCAGUCACAGACUGAUGAAAACUAAUCAUGUUGUUUCAACACUGUUUAUCAUGUAAUACCAAUGUAUUGUGAAGUUUUCAGGUGAUUUUAUCAUCUCCAGUGUACCUGACUUUCAGCUGUAACUCCAAACUGUUUUCUUAAUGCUAAUAUUAUUAUAAAAUGUUACUUUGAUGGAAUUUCACUCUGUCCCUCUGUUCAUUUCAAGUCUGUCAAUACAGCUUGAUUUCCUAACUGUCCA